rnacentral:snRNA from 1 species
CCCUACUGAUGCCCGCGUCG